GAAAUGCGAUAAGUAGUGUGAAUUGCAGAAUUCAGUGAAUCAUCGAAUCUUUGAACGCACAUUGCGCCCCUUGGUAUUCCAUGGGGCAUGCCUGUUCGAGCGUCAUUUGUACCCUCAAGCUUUGCUUGGUGUUGGGCGUCUUGUCGGACUAUCCGACUCGCCUCAAAUACAUUGGCAGCCGGCACUUUGGCCUAGGAGCGCAGCACAUUUUGCGAUCGUAAGCCGUUGUGACAGCAUCCAUAAGAUUUAUUUUACCACGUUUGACCUCGGAUCAGGUAGGGAUACCCGCUGAACUUAA
rnacentral:misc_RNA from 1 species